UAUAAAUUUCGAGGACGAAAUUUCCUUAAGGGGGGUAGAUUGUGACAACCAGUCCCAAAUUAUUUUUAUCGAUGGCGUGAAAUGUUAAUUUUGCCCUUGAGCGUUGGAUUGUAAGUGUGUGAAAUUGGCCAAUUAUCUUAAGUCCUAAUUGUUUGGACCCAAUUAGGACAAAGUUUACUUUUGUUUUUGGUUGGUGAGCCAAACUGGACCACACACACACCCACACAAACACACCCGUUGACCCUUUCUCUUUCUCCCUCUCGGAUUUCCUUCCAUUUCCGUACAAACCGUACGGUCAACCUCAAAACCCUUCAACCAAUUGCGGACCGAGGUUUUGGUUGGUAUCUUUGUGUUGGAAGUAUGCCCACAAAGCCACUCAUUUGAUGUAAUAGCUUUUUGGAAUACUU
rnacentral:lncRNA from 1 species